AGGUUGAGACAUUGACUUCCACUAUAUAUGGAAAAUUGAGAUAGUAAUCACUGAGAUGAGAUUGUUCUACACCGAUGGCAAGGGUAGGACAGCCCUAACCUUAUGGGGGCAAGUCGUGGUACGUCAUGGGUGCUCACAUGGUGUACAUGUCGGUUAGAAGAAUCUCCCAAAGAGUUGUCCCUCAUUCUUAGAUUGAUUUUACUUAUUUAAAAGACAUUUGAAAUGCAGAUUUAUGAUGUAUUCAAUAUUCCAGAUUUCACUAAGAUUGCUUGAUGAGAGAAUAAGAAAAGAAUCUUGAUAUUUGGAUUAAGUUAAUGGCUCAUGAUAUCCAGAUUGGCAUGUUUUACCAUUCAUUGUGUAUGAUUUCAGAUUUUAUAUUUCUUUCAAGCUUUAUGAGCCAUUUACAAAUGCCCUGCAUGAUUUGGAAAGAAAACUUAUGACAUGAUCGUUUAAAUAUAUGUAUGUAUAUAUAUAUAUGUAUGCAUAUAAAUAUGUUUAUUUCAUGCACCCCCAUGUACUUGGUACAUAUUCUAUGGCACUGACCCAUAUGUUCGCAUGUGGGCUACAUUUUCCCUAUAAUGUAGGCUCAGGUGCUCAUUCCCAGGUUUGACCGUGAUUAUCCGAGUACGUUGAUCUACAUCCUCUGCAGUGGUGAGUCCUCAUGGUCCGAGGACUAGUUAUGCUGAUUUCCUCAUUUACUUUAAGUCGUUCAUAUUAUUUCCUGAGUUCGGGUCAGUUGGGGUUUGUCCCAAUGGCUCAUGGAUAUAUAGUUUAGUAGAGGCUUGUCAGUCUAGAUGGAUAGAUUGAUCAGAUUUGUCAGAGAUGUCAUAUUUUGUUACUUUCCGUAUUUCAUUUGUAUUGCAGUAUGGUAUUAUGGAGGAUGUUUAGAUGUUUUGAUUACGAUGACUUUGAUUAUAAGUGUUAAAUGGUAGAAAAGCAGCUAAAAGGGUUAGCUUGGGGCUACUUGUAGCCUUAAGCACCGUGUGAUGCCUCAGGGCCCGUUUUCGGGGUGUUACAAACUUGGUAUCAGAGCCUAAGGUUAUUGGAGUCCUAAGGAAUCUGACAAGCCGCGUUAAGUAGAGUCUUGAUCGUUGGUGUGUAGCGCGCCACAUCUAUGAGUAAGAGGCUACGAAAUGUUUUAAAAAAAAAAGGUGGUUUCAUUCUUUCAGAAGUCUAUCAUGCUUACAGUUGUUCCUUUUCAGCUAUUAAUUCGUUCUCUCUUCUUUCGGAAUAUGCCUCUUCGCCUAGCUGGAAGAAAUAAUGUGGGUCAGCAACCUCAACCUGCUGAUCCCCCGAAUAAGAAUGUAUCCAACGCUGAGUUCAGGGCAGUCUUUCAGGCGCUUGCCUAAGCUGUUACCGCUAACAUUCAGGCCAACCAGACCCCGGCUCCAUAACAAUAGGGAGGUGACUUAGCUGCUGCAAAAAUACAUGACUUUAUGCGGAUGAAUCCACCAGAGUUUUAUGGGUCCAAGGUAGGUGAGGAUCCGCAGUUGUAUCUGGAGGAGAUAAAAAAGAUCACACAGGUAAUACACGUGUUUGAGGAGAAGAGAGUUGACUUAUCAUUCUACAGAUUGAAAGACCUUGCGUAUGACUGGGUGGUUGCAUGGAGAAAGGGUAGAGUAGAGGGUGCUGCUCCUAUGACUUGGCAGGAGUUCCAGGAUGUAUUCCUGGAUAAAUUUUUUCCGCUAGAGUUGAGAGAGGCGAAAAUAGAAGAGUUUAUGAACUUACGGCAAGGCUCCAUGACUGUUAAGGAGUAUUUCUUGAAGUUCAAUCAGUUAGCAAAAUAUGCCCCAAAUCUGAUAGCCAACAACCGAACCAGUAUGGGUAAGUUCUUGACAGGGGUGUCAAGCUAUAUGGUUAAGGAGUGUAGAUCAGCUAUACUUAAUAGUGAGAUGAAUCUUUCCAGAUUGAUGACCCAUGCCUAACAGAUCGAAUCAGAUAAGAUAAAAGAGAGCGAUAGAGUAAGGGAGAAUAAGAGAGCCAGAUCGGAGCAACCUACUUAUGGUCCGAACAGAUUGCAAGGAGGGAAACGCCCUUAGUUUCAGAGUCGCUCAUCUAUUCCAGCACCAUCAUCAGCUAGUGCUCCAGCACUUAGAGGUAGGCAAGAAUAGGGAAAUAGGUUUUCUAUGUCCGGAUCUCAGAAUACUGUGAGUAACCGGCCUAACUAUCUACCUUGCACCAGGUGUGGUAGGGAUCACAGGGGUAAGUGUUUUUGGGGUCAGAAGGGCUACUAUGGAUGUGGCCAGGAGGGCCACAGUUUUAGAGAUUGUCCUCAUACUAGACAGGGGAAUCGUGAUGUUCGCCUCCAAGCUCAGACUACUAGUGCUCCAGCUCCUGUAUCUCGUCCAGCUCCUACUUAUGGUGCUUCUUCCAGCACUGCUAGCGGUCAGCGCCAGAACAGAUUCUAUACUUUGCCUUCCUGUUAGGAGCAGGAGGACUCCGCCGAUGUUGUUACUAUUAUGCUUUGUGUGUUUCAGUUUGAUGUUUAUACGUUGUUGGACCCUGGGUCUAUUUUUUCAUAUGCGACACCUCUGUUUGCUGUAAAUUUUAAAGUGAGUCCCGAGAUUGUCUCUGAGCCCGUCCUAGUUUCUACCCCUGUGGGUGAGUCCAUUGUUGCCUGAAAAGUGUAUAAAAAGUGUCCUAUUUAUAUUCUUCAUAGAGUUAUAUUUGCUAAUCUGAUAGAGUUAGACAUGGUAGAUUUUGAUGUUAUUCUGGGUAUGGACUGGAUUCACUCUUAUUAUGCAUCCAUAGACUAUCGUACCCGUGUAGUCAAGUUUCAGUUCCCUGGUAAGUCUGUUAACGAAUGGUCUGAUAAUUCCAUAUCUCCCAAGAGUCAUUUUAUCUUAUAUCUCAAGGCUAGGAAGCUUAUUUCCAAAGGGUGCAUUUAUCACCUAGUCAGAGUUAAAGACACUAAGUCUGAGACUCCAACUCUCUAGUCAGUUGACGUUGUUAAUGAGUUUCCCGGUGUCUUUCCAGAAGAUCUUCCAGGGGUACCUCUCGAUAGAGAGAUAGAAUUCGAGAUUGAUCUUCUUUUCGAUACUCAGCCCAUUUUCAUUCUUCCAUAUCGUAUGGCACCCGCAGAACUUAAGGAGUUGAAAGAGCAACUUAAAGAUCUCUUAAAUAAAGGUUUUAUAAGACCAAGUGUGUCUCCUUGGGGUGCACCUUUCCUAUUCGUUCGGAAGAAAGAUGGCUCUUUGUGCAUGUACAUUGACUAUCGCCAGCUUAACAAAGUCACUAUCAAAAACAAGUAUCCCCUUCCAAGAAUAGAUGAUUUGUUUGAUCAAUUGCAAGGUGCAAGUUACUUCUCAAAGAUAGACCUUCGCUCUGGCUAUCAUCAACUCAGAGUUAGGGAUGUGAUAUCCCGAAGACAGCCUUCCGAACACGUUAUGGUCAUUUUGAGUUUCUUGUUAUGUCAUUUGGGCUAACUAAUGCCCCAGCAGCUUUCAUGGACCUCAUGAAUUGAGUGUUCAGGCCAUAUCUUUAUAUGUUUGUCAUAGUGUUUAUAGACGACAUUCUGGUAUACUCCUGUAGUGAGAAUGAACAUACAUAUCAUCUCCAUAUCAUCUUGCAAACCCUUAGAGAUCAUCACUUAUUCUCCAAAUUUAGCAAGUGUGAAUUUUAGCUAAGGUCAAUUGAUUUUCUAGGUUAUAUUAUUUCUUCCGAAGGUGUUAGAGUUGAUCCCCAGAAAACAGAAGCUGUUAGAAACUGGCCUAGACCUGUCUCUCCGCCCGACAUUAGAAGUUUCUUGGGUCUAGCUAUCUAUUACCGCCUUUUUGUUGAAGGUUUCUCCUCUAUAGCAUCUCUUAUGACCCGGUUGACCCAAAAGAAAGUGAAGUUCUUGUGGUCCGACUCACUACAGCCCCUUUUUUGACUCUACCUGAUGGCGUUGAUGGUUUUGUGGUAUAUUUUGAUGCUUCUAUAGUUUGUUUGGGUUGUGUACUGAUGCAAAGAGGUAAGGUUAUAGCCUAUGCCUCUAGACAGCUGAAACCCCAUGAAAAGAAUUACCCCAUCCAUGAUCUUGAGUUAGCUAUUGUUGUGUUUGCUCUGAAAAUCUGGAGACACUACUUGUAUGGUGUUCAUGUUGAUGUUUUCACUGAUCAUAAGAGUCUGUAGUAUAUUUUUACCCAGAGAGAGUUGAAUCUUAGGCAGAGAAGGUGGUUAGAGUUAUUGAAAGACUACGAUAUGAGUGUGUUGUAUUACCCGAGAAAGGCCAAUGUAGUGGCAGAUGCCCUUAGCAGGAUGUCUAUGGGUAGUGUUUUGCAUAUUGAAGAGGGUAAGAAGGAGUUGGCUCGUAAUGUACAUCGGUUGGCUAGGUUGGGAAUUAGGUUGCUUGACUCCGCUGAAAGGAGUAUGUUAGUACAGAGUAGCUCCGAAUCCUCCUUGGUUUCAUAAGUAAAGGAGAAGCAAAACUUAGAUGCUAGUUUGGUCAGACUGAAAGAAUCAGUCAAGGACCAAAAGGUGGAGGUUUUCUUCCAAGGGGUGGAUGGUGUGCUGAGAUUGUGGGAUAGAUUAUGUAUUCCGAAUGUCGAAGAUCUGAGGCAGAGAAUUAUGGCUGAAACGCAUGGUGCACGAUAUUUUAUUCAUCCUGAUGCCACCAAGAUGUACUGCGACUUGCGAGAAAUGUAUUGGUGGAGUGGCAUGAAGAAGGAUAUAGCAGCAUUUGUGGCUAAGUGUGCAAUGUGCCAACAGGUUAAGGUAGAACACCAAAGACCUGGUGGUAUGAUGUAGGAGUUCGGUAUUUCCACUUGGAAGUGGAAAGAGAUAAACAUGGAUUUUGUGACUGGUUUACCUCCUUCUCGAUGUCAUCAUGAUUCCAUUUGGGUUGUUAUGGAUAGAUUGACUAAGUCUGUGCACUUUUUGCCUGUGCAUACUUCUUAUACUACUGAGGAUUACGCUAGAUUGUACAUCCGGGAAUUAGUCAGAUUGCAUGGAGUUUCUUUGUCCAUCAUUUUAGAUAGGGGUACUCAAUUCACUUCGCAGUUUUGGAAAGCUUCUCAGAAGGGUCUUGGUACCCAAGUACAUUUGAGUUCUGCUUUCCAUCCGCAGACAGAUGGUCAGGCUGAGAGGACCAUCCAGACCUUAGAGGAUAUGUUGAGAGCGUGUGCUCUUGACUUUAAGGGGAGUUGGGAUGAGCAUUUACCGUUGAUAGAGUUUGCUUACAAUAACAGUUUUCACUCUAGCAUUGGCAUGGCUCCAUUUGAGGCUUUGUAUGGGCGGAAAUGUAGGUCACCCAUAGGUUGGUUUGAAGUGGGUGAAGCGGCCGUGAGUGGUCCUGAUUCGGUCUUUGAAGCUAUGGAAAAGUCAAAGUAAUUAGAGAAAGUUUAAAAACCGCACAGAGUCGCCAGAAAUCGUAUGCUGAUAUGAGGAGAAGAGACCUUGAAUUUGAAGUUUGUGACUUGGUGUAUUUGAAGAUUUCACCCAUGAAGGGAGUGAAGAGAUUCAGAAAGAAGGGGAAACUUAGUCCCUGUUAUGUUGGCCCCUACAUAGUUCUUAGCCAUGUUGGUAAGGUAGCGUAUGAGGUUGAGUUGCCUUCAGAGUUAUCUUCCGUUCACUCUGUCUUCUAUGUAUCUAUGCUUAGGAAACAUAUUAGUGAUUGUGUUGUUGUAGAUCCAUCAGAAAACCCUGAUGUGCAAGAUAGUCUUUCUUUUGAGGAGGUUCCUGUUGAGAAUUUAGAUAACCAAGUUCGAAGACUAACGAACAAAGAAGUUCCCUUGGUCAAGGAGUUGUGGCGAAACCAAUCCGUUGAGGGAGCAAAAUGGGAAGCUGAGGCGGACAUGCGAUCCAAGUACCCGCACCUAUUUUCCAUAAGCUCCGAUCAAGCCGAAGGUACCAUUCUGCUUUAAAUCAUUCCUUUUCUAUGUAGAGUUGCAGUAGUUCAGCAGUUAUUUUAUACUAUUCAGCUGUGAUUUCAUGAGUGAUGCACCCCUUGUUGUAUGCGAAAUGUAGAAUGAAAUAGAGGCAAGAUUAGCAAGUUGCUUCAGUUGUGUACCCUUCAUUUUUACUUUACUCUUAGUAUACCCAGCAUCAUUCGAGGAUAAAUGUCCCCGGGGGGGGAGGGGGGGGAGAUAUUGUAAUGCCCCACACUUUCCUAAGCUGUGAUUUCUGAGUGAUGCACCCCUUGUUGUAUGCGAAAUGUAGAAUGAAAUAGAGGCAAGAUUAGCAAGUUGCUUCAGUUGUGUACCCUUCAUUUUUACUUUACUCUUAGUAUACCCAGCAUCAUUCGAGGAUAAAUGUCCCCGGGGGGGGAGGGGGGGGAGAUAUUGUAAUGCCCCACACUUUCCUAAGCUAGAAAAUGAAUUGUUGUUCGUUUAUGUGAAAACCCCAAUUUUGUAAGCCAUAUUUGGACACCUAAAUUACCAAGAGUACCCUAGUUACAAGAGAGCUUAUGAUGUGUUAAGUGUGGUUAUAUGAUUCACUAAAGGUAGUACAAGCUAAGAGUUUCGAAAUCCAUCAAGUUUUAGUGUUUGAAUUCACAGGGGUCAUCUUUGAAUGAGCAUAACUUGAUAAAUAUGUAGUAUUUCUGCAUAUUUCUACCCGCAAAAUUAUAGAGAAUCGAAUUAGCUUUCCAACGAUACCAAUUUUACCAAAAUCUGACACCUGAGCUAGGAGUUAUGACUUUGCGAAGUAGAGUGCGUCAUCUAACCAUCGCACAUGGCCACUGGAAAGCAUAUGCGAUAGCAUAUGCGGUGCCUAUGUAAAUAUAGGCGAUAUCAUAUGCGGCACCUAUGUAAAUAUAGGCGAUAUCAUAUGCAGCGCCUAUGUGAAUAUAUACGAUAUCAUAUGUGGCGUAUAUCUUAUGGUUUCAAGUGACUUAAACACUCCAUUUUUGGGUUAUUUUGAGGGCAAUUAAGUCUUUUGGCACUCCUUACAUACCCCUAAACUUAACCUUACGAAUUUAAUAGAUUCUAAACACAUCAUAACCCUAUUAUCAUUCUAAGUUCAUCAUCCAAGAGCACUAAAGGAGAAAAACAACUAGGGUUACACAAUCAACNNNNNNNNNNNNNNNNNNNNNNNNNNNNNNNNNNNNNNNNNNNNNNNNNNNNNNNNNNNNNNNNNNNNNNNNNNNNNNNNNNNNNNNNNNNNNNNNNNNNNNNNNNNNNNNNNNNNNNNNNNNNNNNNNNNNNNNNNNNNNNNNNNNNNNNNNNNNNNNNNNNNNNNNNNNNNNNNNNNNNNNNNNNNNNNNNNNNNNNNNNNNNNNNNNNNNNNNNNNNNNNNNNNNNNNNNNNNAAAAUCCACUUUAUGAAAUGAGUUACGGAUUUUAUCAUUUAUUUAACUUAAGAAAUAUGAGAUUACCCUUAAAGUGAAUUUCUCUUGAGAUUUUUUAGCAUAGUAUUGGGAGUAGUAUUUAGCACCGAGUUGGGUAUGUUACUACGAUUUCAUAUCCUAGAACUACGUGCCACCGUAGGUUGAGACAUUGACCUCCACUAAAUGUGAAAAAUUAAGAUAGUGAUCACUGAGAUGAGAUUGUUCUACACCGAUGGCAAGGGUAGGACAGCCCUAACCUUACGGGGGCAAGUCGUGGGACAUCAUGGGUGCUCACAUGGUGUACAUGUCGGUUAGAAGAACCUCCCAAAGAGUCGUCCCUCAUUCUUAGAUUGAUUUUACUGAUUUAAAAGACAUUUGAAAUGCAGAUUUAUGAUGUAUUCAAUAUUCCAAAUUUCACUAAG
rnacentral:lncRNA from 1 species